AUUGAACGCUGGCGGCAUGCCUUACACAUGCAAGUCGAACGGCAGCACGGGAGCAAUCCUGGUGGCGAGUGGCGAACGGGUGAGUAAUAUAUCGGAACGUGCCCAGUCGUGGGGAUAACGUAGCGAAAGCUACGCUAAUACCGCAUACGAUCUAUGGAUGAAAGCGGGGGAUCGCAAGACCUCGCGCGAUUGGAGCGGCCGAUAUCAGAUUAGGUAGUUGGUGAGGUAAAGGCUCACCAAGCCGACGAUCUGUAGCUGGUCUGAGAGGACGACCAGCCACACUGGGACUGAGACACGGCCCAGACUCCUACGGGAGGCAGCAGUGGGGAAUUUUUGGGACAAAUGGGCGCAAGCCUGAUCCAGCAAUGCCGCGUGCAGGAUGAAGGCCU
rnacentral:rRNA from 1 species